rnacentral:lncRNA from 1 species
GGAGGACAUACUGAAGACAGCAGCACUUAAAGUGAAGUGGUUUUAGAAGUCUUGGUAAACACACGGGGGAGCACCACCAGCAAUCACUCAUCCAGAAAGAUCACAGAAUUUUACAUUUUUUUGACUAGAAUUUCGCCAUCCCUUUCCGCCGACCGACCCAGGAACUAGAGCCCUCAUCCAGUGGCUGAUGGAAGCAGAGACAGACAUCCACAGAUAUACACUGAGCUGAAAUCGGAAAUUUAGUUGAAGAGAUUUAGGAAUGAAGAGCGAAGGGGUCUGUACCAGAUUGGAGAAACCCACAGCAACAAUUGGCCUGAACAUGGGAGAGCACAUCGACCCCAGAUGCUGUAGGGGAGGCCAGUACAAGACUGAUCCAGACCCAUGAACAUGGAUGCCAAUAAGGAGGCCUCUGCACUCCAGGGAGCCUCUGCUGGUGGAUUAGUUUUUUUCCCUGGUGCAAGAAGGGACUUUGAGAGCCCAUCCCAAGUGAAGGGUUACACUCUGGCCCUGGACACAUGGGGAAGGGCCCAGGACCAACACAGGAAGAUUUGGUGGACUUUGCAGAGCCCCCGUUGAGGACCCUACCCUGCCU